rnacentral:rRNA from 1 species
CCUACGGGAGGCAGCAGUAAGGAAUAUUGGACAAUGGGCGCAAGCCUGAUCCAGCCAUGCCGCGUGAAGGAUUAAGGUCCUCUGGAUUGUAAACUUCUUUUAUAGGGGACGAAAAAAGGGCAUUCUUGCUCACUUGACGGUACCCUAUGAAUAAGCACCGGCUAACUCCGUGCCAGCAGCCGCGGUAAUACGGAGGGUGCAAGCGUUAUCCGGAUUCACUGGGUUUAAAGGGUGCGUAGGCGGGCAUGUAAGUCAGUGGUGAAAUCCUAGAGCUUAACUCUAGAACUGCCAUUGAUACUAUCUGUCUUGAAUAUUGUGGAGGUAAGCGGAAUAUGUCAUGUAGCGGUGAAAUGCUUAGAUAUGACAUAGAACACCUAUUGCGAAGGCAGCUUACUACGCAUAUAUUGACGCUGAGGCACGAAAGCGUGGGGAUCAAACAGGAUUAGAUACCCUGGUAGUCCACGCCCUAAACGAUGGAUACUCGACAUACGCGAUACACUGUGUGUGUCUGAGCGAAAGCAUUAAGUAUCCCACCUGGAAGUACGUCCGCAAGGAUGAAACUCAAAUGAAUUGAGGCUUGAGGAGNGCGAGACGACACGAGGGAGGAGG